UACAGAGGUGGCAAGCGUUGUUCGGAAUUACUGGGCGUAAAGGGUGCGUAGGCGGGUCUUUUAAGUCAGGGGUGAAAUCCUGGAGCUCAACUCCAGAACUGCCUUUGAUACUGAAGAUCUUGAGUCCGGGAGAGGUGAGUGGAAUUCCUAGUGUAGAGGUGAAAUUCGUAGAUAUUAGGAAGAACACCAGUGGCGAAGGCGGCUCACUGGCCCGGUACUGACGCUGAGGCGCGAAAGCGUGGGGAGCAAACAGG
rnacentral:rRNA from 1 species